UUCCUCAUACACCCGAAACUAGCCACAUCCAUUGUGAGAGCUGCGCAGGUGCACCAUGAUGCAAGAUCAGGCAAUGUGACAUGGACCUAUGAACUGAGAUUAAGCAGACUGGACUGACAAGGCAGAGUUGAGGGAGGAUAUAAGGGAGUAUGCUCGGGGGCUGGAAAGGGAGAGAGAAAAAAAGAAAAGAAAGAUUCUUGCUUGCAUGCUGUAAGGUUCCUGAAUAAACUGCUUUGAGAAGAAUGCUGUGUCAUCGCUCUUUUCUGCGGGUCGGAGACAGAGGGACAAGUGGUGGCCCUUACAGGGACCCUCCUCCUUCGUUCAGAACUCAACGCGGUCAGAGCGGCUAGCCAGUAAGUUCCCAGGAUCAUCGGCAGCCGCUGUGGGUCCGGGAGAGGCUGACCAGAGCGGUCCAAGAUGAACGGAAGGAGGAUACUAUGGAUGUUCCUAGUGUUGCCGAUAAUUCCUGCAGUGAUGGCUGAAGACCUAUGCUGGGGGCUUUUAUCUGUGUUUCCCAAGCCCCUGUCACUGAUGCAUUCAACGCAAGUGUUCCCCGAUUUUUUUCCUCUAAUGCUUUGCUAUAGCUACCCUUCCUACCCUGGGAUGGGGAUAUAGUGCCUAUAAAUGAUUUGAUGCAGCUUUAGUUAGAA